rnacentral:rRNA from 1 species
AGGAACACAUCGGAAUCUACCCUGUCGUGGGGGACAACGUAGGGAAACUUACGCUAAUACCGCAUACGACCUUUGGGUGAAAGCGGGGGACUCGCAAGAGCCUCGCGCGAUUGGAUGAGCCGAUGUCCGAUUAGCUAGUUGGCGGGGUAAUGGCCCACCAAGGCGACGAUCAGUAGGUGGUCUGAGAGGAUGAUCACCCACACUGGGACUGAGACACGGCCCAG